GCACGCGUCCAACCCGUCCGCAACGGCUUCAUCAACUCGAUGCAGGUCUAUCCCUUCGUCGAUGGCGCGCUCUAUCAGGUCUAUGCCUCGCCGGGGCAGAUCACCGACAUCGCGCUUCAGCCCGGCGNNGGCUCCGGUCCCGUCGCCGCCGGCGACACCGUGCGCUGGAUCAUCGGCGACACCGAGAGCGGCGUGGGCACCGCCAAGCAGAUCCAUAUCCUCGUGAAGCCAACCCGCGCCGAGCUGAUGACCAAUCUCGUCAUCAACACCGACAGGCGCACCUAUCACAUGGAGCUGCGCGCGACGCCCGCGACCUACAUGGCGUCGGUGUCCUGGCAAUAUCCACAGGACCAGCUCAUCGCGCUGCGCCGCCAGAACCAGCAGGCGGAGGCCGCGC
rnacentral:misc_RNA from 1 species